GGAUUAGAUACCCUGGUAGUCCACGCCGUAAACGAUGUCAACUAGCCGUUGGGUUCAUUCAGGAAUUUAGUGGCGCAGCUAACGCGAUAAGUUGACCGCCUGGGGAGUACGCCGGCAACGGUAAAACUCAAAGGAAUUGACGGGGGCCCGCACAAGCGGUGGAGCAUGUGGUUUAAUUCGAUGCAACGCGAAGAACCUUACCAGGCCUUGACAUCCUCGGAACUUUCUAGAGAUAGAUUGGUGCCUUCGGGAACCGAGUGACAGGUGCUGCAUGGCUGUCGUCAGCUCGUGCCG
rnacentral:rRNA from 1 species